AUGAACACUGAAAAUCACCAGUAUGUUGCUGAUGCUAAUGGAUUUGAUAGAGUUACCGAGUCUGAGGUUAACAAGAAAAAUAUAAUGCCAGCAUCUUAUGCGGGCAAACUUCGCUGCAUGACUGAAAACUUCCAUGAUGCUGUCGCUGUUUCACGUGUCCAUGGCUCACCUGAUAUAUUCACAGACUUCACGUAUGAUCCAAACUGGCCUGAGAUAGUUCAGGGUCUUGAGCAUGGACAACAGGCGGUCGAUGAGGCUGAUUUUACUGCUCAAGUGUAUCAACUGAAACUCCUUGAGUACGUGGAAAAAAUUAAGGCCGGACAGGUGUUUGGGCUUGUAGUUACUGUCCUCCACUCCGUGGACUUCCACAAGAGGAGUCUGCCCCAUGCACAUAUCCUUGUUUGGCGGGAAAAAGAUUAUGGGCAGAGUCAAAUCCUUCUCGCCAUGGAUGACAACUUAUUCGUGCCUCUGCUCCCGAAGCUUGCAGCAACACUGGUCACCGCCAGCAGGCAGCACGUGCUGCAGUUAUCCAUAAAUGCCCUUAGAGUUACAGCAAGCCAAUCAGUACACUAUGACGAAGAUGAUGACAGUUUCUUUGCCACUGUUGAAAUACAUGUUCCAGCACAUGAAAACAUUCCUCAGUUUAAAACAACCAUAUUUGCUGGACACAACUGCCAAACAACAAACGCGGCUCAUGAAUCAGCGAGUACUACUGCUCUGCAUUACAUGCAGCAAGGAGGCAUUCUAAUUAUCGAUGACCUGAAUUUCCCUGAGCUUCAAAAGUGCAAAAAAGAGGUGGUCAGAGCCAAGUCAUGGUCAGACAUAUUUGAGCAUGAAACAGUCAAGCUAAAGAGAAAAAUAGGUUCCUUAGAGAGGGAAUUAGCAUCUCUUAAAGAGAACAGUGUUGUUCGUAAGCCAAUCCAGCAACCCUAG
rnacentral:rRNA from 1 species